GCCGGGAUGGGGUAGCCUGGUUAUCCUUGGGGAUUGUGGAUCCCCGGACUCGCGUUCAAAUCGCGGUCUCGGCC
rnacentral:tRNA from 1 species